rnacentral:sRNA from 1 species
CACCGUUUCCUCCUCCGCUUCUUCGUCUUUCCGUCGUCCACUGUCUCUCUCUCUCUCUCG